CGUCUUUUUCUAUCUUCCCACUCAUCUCCACUAUACCCCUCGUCUUCUAAUUCCUUCCAUUCAACCAAAGAAUUCUUUAUAAUAAUUCGCAAAUCCAAAUCUUCCGCAUAUCUUGCUCAUCCGACAUGGCAUGAAUCACCGAACCCGCACUCAGGAAGAGUAAACGAACCAUAA
rnacentral:rRNA from 1 species